CUUGAAUCAAUGAUUUUGUUAAUUUAAAACUCUGCAUAUUAUGGAUUAAAAUUCAAUUACAUAUGUUACUGACCAUCACAUCACCGAAUAGAACUUAUAUCUGUAUAUAUCUGCUGGUCAUCGCGGCAUGGUUUAGCGGUAAACUCAAUUAAAAUAAGUUACUGACAAAGGAAAAAGAAAAGUAACCUGAAUCAACCAAGUCCCAUCGGCUAUUGCUAUUAAACUCGAAAUUAGUCGGAUGUGGUGAAUAUUUGGCCGAUGGAACCUCAAUAAGAUAUAAAGCAUCCCACUGCUUGUGGAGGAGGGCGAGUGUAGUAGAAAAAUUUCUGGCUGUUUGUUGAAACUGGACCGUUUAAACGUGUAACUUUCCGUCGCUUCGCGUUUACAUUCGUAUGCCUUAUGAACAGACAUUGUUAUGGGUCAUCAACAAACCGUCAAACCAAAUAUGUCGGAGCGGUUGCAUUGAAACUUCCUUCAAGCUGUCAUUCGUGGCUAUAUUUUUCAUGACAGCAAUGAAUUGCUCUCAAAAACUUGGACUGAUAAAAGAAACUUGAUAAGGUUAAAGAAGCAAAACAAAGCGU
rnacentral:lncRNA from 1 species